GUCCACGCCGUAAACGAUGGGCACUUGGUGUCGCGGGUAUCGACCCCUGCGGUGCCGAAGCUAACGCAUUAAGUGCCCCGCCUGGGGAGUACGGUAGCAAGGCUGAAACUCAAAGGAAUUGACGGGGGCCCGCACAAGCGGUGGAGCAUGUGGUUCAAUUCGAAGCAACGCGAAGAACCUUACCUGGGUUUGAAGAUCAGUUGAUCGGGGGCGAAAUCUCCCUUUCCCGCAAGGGACAAUUGGUUAGGUGCUGCAUGGCUGUCGU
rnacentral:rRNA from 1 species